GCGGCACAGGGUCCUGCAGAGGCUGCUGCUCCUGCUCGCCCUCCUCGGGACCUGCAUGGUCAUCGGCGACGGCGUGCUCACCCCUGCCGUCUCCGUGAUCUCCGCGGUGUCCGGGCUCAAGCUCUCGCUGGACAAUAAGCAGCACGAAUCAAGGAGAAGCAGCCCCCAGGUGCUCCUGGGCUUGACAGUUCAAGAUCAAGGACAUUUCACAGGUGGCGUCAGCAGACGGCGUUGUCUCCGAUUACCGGCCGCUGCAAUAUAUGCCUGCGUUGGGCGUGGUCGGUGGCUGGUAUGCAAUACUAGCCAUGACCGUCUCGGUUGUUCCAUGUGACAGUA